UCGCUAGUAAUCGCGGAUCAGAAUGCCGCGGUGAAUACGUUCCCGGGUCUUGUACACACCGCCCGUCACACCAUGGGAGUCGGAAAUGCCCGAAGUCUGUGACCCAACCUACGGGAGGGAGCAGCCGAAGGCAGGUCGGAUGACUGGGGUGAAGUCGUAACAAGGUAUC
rnacentral:rRNA from 1 species